rnacentral:piRNA from 1 species
GUUGGUCAUAGGGCUCAAAGAGG